CCUUUCCCUUGCUCCCUCCUCCAUCUCCAACUCCCCCUGCUCCCUUCCUUUCCCUGCCCAGCACAGGGGGUCUGGUGCCAAUCGGCUUCUCCAGACGAUCAAAUGUCACUAUAAAUUGAGAGCUGCAUCACCUCGGGACGCUUGCAGAUCUCAGCCUGCCUGUCUCCUUCAGCAGGGAGCUCUCUGCUUCUCUCCACUCCGCCCAGGAACUCACUGCAAACAUGUCUGAUACCGAGGAAGUGGAACAAGGAGAGGGUAAGUCUUGAAUCCAUCUCUGCUUCUGUGCAAACCUGCAGCAUUUGCUGGCUCUGUCUGUCUUUUCCUUUCUGCCCAUUGUUGAUAUUUUAACAGCAAUUGCUGAUCCGGUUAGGCACAUCUGAAAUAUCUUUUUUUUUUUGCAUGUGACUCUGACUGUCACCAGCUUCCGCUGAUUUUCCACUACUUGUAGCCCCAAACUGAUGCCGUGAUUGUGGGGAUCGCUGCUGGUUUUUGUAGGGGCACUGCCAUCUGCUGGCAAUUAUUUUGCCGCUUUUAAAUAUUUCGUUUUUUAAAAAAAACAUAGAAACCCACAAUAUAUACAAAAAAAUCGAUACAGAAAUGUACAAGUUUGUUUUCUUUGCUGUUUUGUUUUUUUUUUUACUUAAAGGGUCCCUCUGUCACCUAUUUCCUUCUAACCUGCAUAUAUGCCUGAGUUCCCAUUGCCCAAGGAAAAAAAAAAAAAUGAUAGUGACCUCCUCCCCUUCUAUACUUCCUCUUUUUUCUCAAAGUCAUUUUAUUUGCUCUUUUACUUGCUGAAUGGGAAGUGUCCUCUCAGAGGCCAUCUUGCUCGGCAUCCCUGUGAGUGCACAGGGCUCUGCCAUGGGUAAUGUCCUGCCAACAUGUCAAGGCUGAUGGUUGAUUUGUCUGCUUUUUUUCCCCCCUCCCCUGUUUCAAUGCAGAGGAAUACGAAGAAGAAGAAGAGGUUCAAGAAGAAG